rnacentral:lncRNA from 1 species
CCUGGUUCCCAUGGGCUCUGAGAAGGUGUCCAUCCUAUCCUCAUAACACUUUAUUGGAUCUGUUUGUUGAGACACCUGCUUUUCCCAGUGGAUGCUAAGGUCCUGGAGGAGGUCCUUACUGGUCCCAGGGUACUGUUUUCUGGACCAGAAACUGACCACCAACGGCAUGUUCCUUGCUGCCCUAACACCUGGCCAUGGUGGAUGGUCAGCAAAUGUAUUUUGGGGUCUUAGUUUCCCCAUCUAUACAGUCAACAAAUGAGGUCACCACGGCUCUGUUACCGUGUGCUUUUAUGAUGGUAAUAGGUGUCAAGUCAGGUGUAAGUCUAGGGGACCCUCCCAGGUGGGAGGGAGAGUGCAAGAGAGUGUGUGGUUUGUGUUCAGACAGGAGACAGCCUCAGCUCCUAGCAGUGCGGAAGACUCGUUUCUCUCAUGAUCCUAGGGGAUAAAGGUGGAGGACCAUCCCACCUGUCUGAGCGACCGUGGGGGUCUGGUGUCCUGGGGGCCAGCCCAGUGAUGUCACCAGCUGAUGUCACCACUGUAGAGGAACAGAGGCACACUACAGUUUCCCCACCUUCCUGCACCUGGCCAAAUGCCCAGGUAUGUGCUCCACCCCACCCCCCACUGCUGCUGGAGGGCGGUGGCUGUUUGGCAGCCCUGAGGUGGCUGACGUUGCCCAGGUCGGGGCUGCAGGUGGAAGGUCUGAGCCAGAUGUCAGAAAGGGCACACACUUGCUGCUGGGGGCCACUGGGAGGCCAGGGAUGGAGCCCGCCCCCUCCUCUUCCUCCUCCUCCUCCCACCCUGUGGAUGGCUCCAAGGAGCCGGGCAGGCCGCAUGCCAUCCACACACAUCUGUCCCAAUGCAGUCUCCCUGGCCUCUGGCUCCUGCUUAACUCAGACAUCAGGAGGCACCAGCAGGAAGCAGAGAGUGACCGGGGAGCAUUUCUUCUCCCUAUUUUUCCACCUCCAGUUUCCCAUGGUUGGUGGGACUGUCUACUAAACCCCUGGCUUCUGUCAAGCCCCAUCUCCGGGUGACAGCUACCCCGCCUUUGUCCCUUCACACCUCAAGAGGUCACUGGUCAUUCCUCUUUUGGUCUCCUUAGCCCCUUCCCCACCUUUAUAAAUAGACAAUCAGACGCUCCCCCAUUGGACUGUGCUGUCUUGACUGGUGCCACUGGCUGGAUGCUGCUUGUUCGCACGUGGCUCUUACUGGAUUCAUUCCAUUUCCCGAAGUGUUGACUGAGUGCCUACUGGGUACACUAGGCCUGUGUAGGUGCUUACCAUCGGCCGAACCAAAAUUAGGGGAGAGAUAUGUAGAGAAUUGGGAGCCUGAGGCCCCAGUACCCUCAGCGGGCUCCCCAACAUCUCAAUGCGUGUCCCAGAAGGGGAAAAAUGGUAACUGUUGACAAUCUUGUGACAUGGCCUCUAAACGAGCUGUAUCAACUGAGAACAUACGUAAGUCACAGUCCACAUUACAUUUCAUAACAGUCCAGUGCUAUCAUUUUUCAUUAGAAGUUCUUUUUUUUUAUUCUUUAACAUUUAUUUAUAUUUCAGAGACAGAGAAAGACAGAGGACAAGUCGGGGAGGGGCAGGGAGAGAGGAAGACACAGAAUCCAAAGCAGGCUCCAGGCUCUGAGCUGUCAUGACAGAGCCCAAUGUGGGGCUUCAACUCACAGACUGCAAAAUCAUGACCUGAGCCGAAGUCAGAUGCUUAACUGACUGAGCCACCCAGCCACCCCUCGUUUUUUAUUUUUUAUCAAGACAGUCAAAUAAAACCAUCCCUGAAGAGGUUAGAUUGUCCUCC